CCUACGGGCGGCAGCAGUGGGGGAUAUUGCACAAUGGGGGAAACCCUGAUGCAGCGACGCCGCGUGGGUGAAGAAGUAUUUCGGUAUGUAAAGCUCUAUCAGCAGAGAAGAAAAUGACAGUACCUGACCAAGAAGCCCCGGCUAACUACGUGCCAGCAGCCGCGGUAAUACGUAGGGUGCAAGCGUUAUCCGGAUUUACUGGGUGUAAAGGGCGCGUAGACGGGUAUGUAAGUCUGGAGUGAAAGCCCGGGGCCUAACCCCAGGACUGCUUUGGAAACUGUGAAACUGGAGUACAGGAGGGGUAGGUGGAAUUCCUGGUGUAGGGGUAAAAUGCGUAGAUAUCAAGAGGAAUAC
rnacentral:rRNA from 1 species